rnacentral:rRNA from 1 species
UGGGGAAUAUUGCACAAUGGGCGAAAGCCUGAUGCAGCAACGCCGCGUGAGGGACGACGGCCUUCGGGUUGUAAACCUCUUUUAGCAAGGAAGAAGCGAAAGUGACGGUACUUGCAGAAAAAGCGCCGGCUAACUACGUGCCAGCAGCCGCGGUAAUACGUAGGGCGCAAGCGUUAUCCGGAAUUAUUGGGCGUAAAGAGCCCGUAGGCGGUUUGUCGCGUCUGCUGUGAAAACCCGAGGCUCAACCUCGGGCCUGCAGUGGGUACGGGCAGACUAGAGUGCGGUAGGGGAGAUUGGAACUCCUGGUGUAGCGGUGGAAUGCGCAGAUAUCAGGAAGAACACCGAUGGCGAAGGCAGAUCUCUGGGCCGUAACUGACGCUGAGGAGCGAAAGGGUGGGGAGCAAACAGGCUUAGAUACCCUGGUAGUCCACCCGUAAACGUUGGGAACUAGUUGUGGGGUCCAUUCCACGGAUUCCGUGACGCAGCUAACGCAUUAAGUUCCCCGCCUGGGGAGUACGGCCGCAAGGCUAAAACU